rnacentral:rRNA from 1 species
UACGUAGGGGGCGAGCGUUGUCCGGAUUUAUUGGGCGUAAAGAGCGUGUAGGCGGUUCGGUAAGUCUGUCGUGAAAUCCUGAGGCUCAACCUCGGGCGUGCGAUGGAUACUGCCGGGCUAGAGGGUGGUAGAGGCGAGUGAAAUUCCCGGUGUAGCGGUGAAAUGCGCAGAUAUCGGGAGGAACACCAGUAGCGAAGGCGGCUCGCUGGGCCACACCUGACGCUGAGACGCGAAAGCUAGGGGAGCGAACAGG